rnacentral:rRNA from 1 species
CGCUGGCGGCGUGCUUAACGCAUGCAAGUCGAGCGGGGAUACGAGGGAGCUUGCUCCUGAGUAUUCUAGCGGCGAACGGGUGAGUAACGCGUGAGAAACCUGCCUUUCAGUGGGGGACAACAGUUGGAAACGACUGCUAAUACCGCAUAAUGUAUCGAGAGGGCAUCCUCUUGAUACCAAAGCUUAAUGUGCUGAGAGAUGGUCUCGCGUCUGAUUAGCUAGAUGGCGGGGUAACGGCCCACCAUGGCGACGAUCAGUAGCCGGUCUGAGAGGAUGAACGGCCACAUUGGGACUGAGACACGGCCCAGACUCCUACGGGAGGCAGCAGUGGGGAAUAUUGCGCAAUGGGGGCAACCCUGACGCAGCAACGCCGCGUGAAGGAAGAAGGUCUUCGGAUUGUAAACUUUUGUCUUAUGGGAAGAUAAUGACGGUACCAUAGGAGGAAGCUCCGGCUAACUACGUG